rnacentral:rRNA from 1 species
CCUACGGGCGGCAGCAGUAGGGAAUAUUGCUCAAUGGGGGAAACCCUGAAGCAGCAACGCCGCGUGGAGGAUGAAGGUUUUCGGAUUGUAAACUCCUUUUGUUAGAGAAGAUAAUGACGGUAUCUAAAGAAUAAGCACCGGAUAAAUCCGUGCCAGAAGCCGAGGUAAUACGGAGGGUGCAAGCGUUACUCGGAAUCACUGGGCGUAAAGGGCGCGUAGGCGGGAUAGCAAGGCAGAUGUGAAAUCCUUUGGCUUAAACAUAGAACUGCAUUUGAAACUGGUAUUCUAGAGUAUGGGAGAGGUAGGUGGAAUUCUUGGUGUAGGGGUAAAAUCCGUAGAGAUCAAGAAGAAUACUCAUUGCGAAGGCGGCCUGCUAGAACAUAACUGACGCUGAUGCGCGAAAGCGUGGGGAGCAAACAGGAUUAGAUACCCCAGUAGUC